CCUAGUUGUGUAAGCUUCAGAAACAGUCCUCACCUUUUGAGAGGUAUUUCUGACAGUUUGGAUUGGCAGUUCAUGAACACCCGUAAGUUAACGUUUACCAGCUGCUUCAGAACCUGCAGGAGAGGAGCUAGUUUCUGUGCGUCCCUGGUUACAGGAUCCACCACGGCAACAACAUCGAAGUACACGUCUCCCUCCUUUGGGCGGAUCUUCACAGCACUGCCAAAAAUCAGCAAAUCAAUCAUGAAGGGAAGUAAACACAACCAAGAUUUUCAAGGCUGUUGCUGAGAGAAUGCACAGAUUAAAAAAAAAUGUAUUCUGUAUUUACAAUAAGUUUUAAAGUAACUUUUGGUACAGUAUUUGGUAAAGAUGGUCCAAUAUUUUAAUAAACUCGAAAAUUCAAACAA